rnacentral:tRNA from 1 species
GGAGCAUUGGCCGAGAGGUCCAAGGCAAUGGAUUGCUAAUCCAUGGUCGCGCAAGCGGCCCGCUGGUUCGAAUCCAGCAUGCUCCGCCA